GAGUUAUGUUCCUAGGAGGACUGUGGCUAUCUCUACUGUGUCAUGCAGGUUGUCAGGGAAGUGGGGGAUAGCCAGCAGUUACAGACCUCACCCAGCUCCUGUACAACCCAGAGUGCCAGUCUUACUCCCAACAGCACCAAUCCUGUUUCCAGGCAGUGGGUGAGCAGGGCUAAGAACUUGCCCCAGGCUACCUGCCUCCCAGCUGCGAAAGCAAGUAUGGAUUUCCUUCUUCCCCAGUCAGUGGAAUCUGCACACUGGAUUCACACCCUUCCCCAAGUUCUGACCAGGAGGCUUCUUGAUCAGUUCAAAUUGUUACAAUGUUCAGCUGGAAAUUUCCUUCUCCCUGUGGCCUUUUCCCAGUGCCUCUGGCAGCCCUCCCAAAGGAUUCCUGUGAAGCCAGGCCCCCGCAGCUCUCAGAAUGAAGUCUGAAUGCGUCAGCAAAGCACACAACGUUCUUCACCACUUGCCUUCAGCCUGAUUUUCCAGGCUUACUUCCAAACCUUGCAGGUCUCCUCCCCUGGUUUCCUAGAACUAUUCACUCUCCUCUGAAAGCAUGCCCUGCCCUUCCCCUUGCCUUUGCCCAUGUGGUCUUGUGCCCGGAAAACUUUUCAGCUCUCAGAUAACAUGGCAGCUCCUCCUCUCAGCACCACGUCCUGCCUACUCCUUUGGGUGAACUGCUACCCAGUGUCUCAGGGGCCCCCAGGAGACAGUCUGCAAGGGCAAGCCUCCCUCACCAGGCUGCAGUGGUGCCUUCCUUGUCUUUGAAUAAAGCAAGAAAAUGAAAAGUCAUCUGAAUGAGUGAAUGAAUCCUAAUGCAAUAUACU
rnacentral:lncRNA from 1 species